rnacentral:SRP_RNA from 1 species
GCCGGGCGCGGUGGCGCGCACCUGUAGUCCCAGCUACUCGGGAGGCUGAGGCAGGAGGAUCGCUUGAGUCCAGGAGUUCUGGGCUGUAGUGCGCUAUGCCGAUCGGGUGUCCGCACUAAGUUCGGCAUCAAUAUGGUGACCUCCUGGGAGCGGGGGACCGCGGGGUUGCCUAAGGAGGGGUGAACCGGCCCAGGUCGGAAACCGAGCAGGUCAAAACUCCCGUGCUGAUCAGUAGUGGGAUCGCGCCUGUGAAUAGCCACUGCACUCCAGCCUGGGCAACAUAGCGAGACCCCGUCU